rnacentral:ncRNA from 2 species
UGGUCUCAGGGCGAUGGAGUUCGCCUAAACCGCAUAAUGCUGAUGACUCCUGUUUCUUA